rnacentral:lncRNA from 1 species
CCGGUCCCUCGAAUCGAAAAAUAAUAAAUAAAUAAAUCUGUGGUACUGCUCGGACUUCCGCCGUCCCAAUUCCAGAUGGAAUCUGACAUUCCGGUCACUCUGGGCUCCGGGUACAGAAUGCGAACCGGAUCCAUCUCGGACGAGGUCUGGUAGGGACGCCGCCGGCAAUAUUGUUGCGCUUCCAGGUUCCGGCCGCGGUUGGGUUGGGGGCGGCCUGCCUUUCGGUGGAGGGGGAAAGGCGAUCCGUCGGAGGGUUCAUUGGAGGUGGCUCAUCAUCUGGCUGGGAUCUAUGGCCGAAUGGAAGAGGCGGCGGCGGCGAACUGCGUGAUGGGGUGCAUACACACCGACCUCCUGCAGGACACCGCUGCGUUGCUCUGGACGCGCAUCCUCCUCCGCCCCACUGCCGACCCGGCCGGCGCACGACGCAACGCCGAGGCAUUCAGUGGCAGCAGGAAUCCAUCCACUGCAUCCCCGGCAAACCUCCCUGUGCUCCAUUGCGCAGGCGUCGUCCGGGUGUCCGUCAAGGGCGAGGUUUGUUGCUCUCUGAUAAAAUUGUACUACUAGGAAAAUGUGAUAUCCUUGCACAUCGGUUUCAACUUUCAAGUUUAUUUGACAAUUCAAUGUACCACUGUACAAUUUGUCUGGUUAAGGGUGUGAUUAGUCGAUAGUCGGGCUUAAUUACUUGCAGUUUACUACUCCCUCCGUCCCGAAUUACUUCGUAUCUAGAAUACAUCCGUAUCAAAACAAAUCUAAGACAAGUAAUUCGGGACGGAGGUAAUACUAGUUUUGAAAGAAAAAGGAAAAUCCAAGUCGAAAGAAAAGUUCAUGUGCUGAACUUUUUAUUUGAUAUAGGUUGAACCACAGCUUACAUACACGACGAACAUAGAUUUACUUGUAAAAUGGAAGACGAUCCACGACAUAACACGAUUUCUAUCGAGAAAAGGUAAAGCAUUAAGUAAAGGAAACUAGUCUUAGGUCAUCCUGCAGCAGCAACAUCUGAGCAAUAUUAAAUGUUUGCAGUUUUUGCUCAACCCUGCAGUGCUGAAAAUGCAUCUUUGAUUGCGGUGACCUCAACGUAAACAUCCUGCAUUGAGGGACGAUAUUUGGGUGUCUCUGCAGCGCACAUGAGGCCAAUCUUAACGAGCUUGAUGAUGCAGCUCAUUCCAGCCAUUUGAUGAUGAUUUUCUUGAUCUACAGCCCUGCCUGCUUCUCCGUCUUGGUCCGCAUAAUAGGGAAUGAUUCUCGGAUCUAGAAUCUCGCCAAUCUUUUCAGGAAAUGAUUUUUCAACAAAAUUGUAAAGGCUCAGGCCAUCUUUAAACAUCUCAUCAGUUGGACGCUUCCCUGUGAGCAUUUCUAAGACGAUGACUCCAAAGCUGUAAAUAUCACCCUCGGUAGAGAUUUUGCUCCCAAAGCCAUAUUCUGCAAUAUGUAUAGUUAUUGAAACCGUUAAUUAACACAAUAAAAUUGGAGCACAAGAAUCAAAAUAUUUCUGGGGAAAAUAAAGUAAAAUGUCAUUGAGCCUAUAAGAUAUUUUCCAUAAAUAUAUUAUCCUACAUGAAGAAAUUCUUACCUGGUGCAAUGUAUCCAACUGAUCCUCUUGGUCCCACUAAGCUCGUAGAACCAUCAAUCCUAGAAGAAGUAUAACUGUGUACAAACUUAGUCAACCCGAAGUCACCAACACAUGCGCCCAUGACAUCAUCCAGAACACAGGCGGAGGACCCGGUAGGGCGAGGUUGGGCGCCCGCCCUACCUUGAUUUUGUACGAUGCAAUCUGUACAGGUAUACGCAUCGCUGGAUCGCUGGCUGGCUGGCUCCUGGUUGCCUCGCUAGGUAAAAAAAAAGGAGAAAAGGGAAUGGGCCUUCGAGCGAACGCAAGCCGCGUUAGGCCAGCAGCGCCCUGAUUGCUCCCCCAACAGCUAAGGAACUGCUACAUUCUUUUACCCUGAUUGCUCAAGUUCCUCAGCUGUCUAGACUAGCAGCAGUCCUCGACUGGUGCAUUCUUUUACCCUUUAAAAAGGUAGCAGUUUCCCGAUUCCCUCUCAUCCGCUGGCCUGAUUUCUCUUCACCGCCCCGGUUGGGAUUUCUACUGAUUAGCUAUUUUUUAUGUGUGUGUGAGAGAGGUGCUUAUUACUGUAAUUUGUGCGGCUACUGUAGGCGCUCUUUCAGUGAAUGGGAAACGUAGAAAUAUAGCAGAUGGGUAAGAAAAGAGAGGGUAGAACAAAGGUAAGAGUAAAGGUGCAAAUUUAUGGAAAAAAUAGAUUUCUAAAUUUGUGAUCUGUAUGGUAAAAUAGUUUGACAAUGUACAAUUCAGUGAUCUUAAUGAUAUUUUCAUAUUGUGAAUGGUAGCAUAUCAUAAUUUAAUUUACGCCUUAGUGUCCGCCCCACCUCAAAUUUUUGUCGUCCUCCGCCACUGAUCCAGAAGGACAUUGCUUGGCUUCAGAUCACAGUGUGUCAUAGGAGGCAUGCAAUGGUUAUGCAGGUAAUCCAAAGCAGCUGCUAUGUCUACUGCUAUUGCUAUUCUUGAACCCAAAGACAAGGGCCUUUUCAGAUGAUGCUCGUGGAGUGUUGGAUGGAGCCAACUUUCAAGGUUGCCGUUAACCAUAUAUUCAAGGAGAAGAGCUUUGAACUCAUUUCCUGUCAGGUCACUUGUCGAGCAUACUGUGAUCACCCUUACAAGAUUACGAUGACGAGUACUUCUGAGUGCCUGGCAUUCAGCAACGAAGCUUUUCGUUGCUCCAGGCUGAUCAAGUUUGAAAACUUUGAUCGCAACUGCAUGUUCUUCAGACUCAAUUCUACCUUUGUAUACGGACCCAUACUUUCCUGAACCAACCAAGUUGGCUAAAGAGAAACCAUUUGUUGCUUUCACUAAAUCAGCAUAUGUGAAUUUCUUUAACUCCUCGACGGAUGGAUGAUCUUCUUGCUUCGCUUUCUUUCCCUUCUUUAAAAAAAUGAGUCCAAUACAUGAUAACAUGACUAAGACAAGAGCAGAUAAUCCCAUUAUCUUCAGAAUGUGGAAUCUGUGCCUUUGUUGAGAUGCAGCUGUAUGGCAAAGUGGCAAUCUCAAUAGUGGGGAGACAGCACACAACUCUUUGUUCCCUUGGACAAACACCUUGCUUGCAUUUUGGAAGAUCCCACCAGUUGGCAUGGGUCCCUCCAGGUUGUUGAAUGACAAAUUGAGAAGUGACAGGGAGCUGAAAGCCUCAAAGAAGUCUGGAACUUGACCAGACAAGUUGUUUCGAGAAAGGUCCAUGUCACUGAUGCCUUUCAGUGCAGCGAAAGAUUGAGGGAUUCGCCCAUCAAGUAGAUUACCUUCCAGGUGGAGGGAUUCUAAAUGGAGGCAGUCGCCCAAAGUUGAGGGAAUUUCUCCAGUCAACAGGUUGUUGGAAAUAUCGAGGGGGGAAAGGUUGAUUAAUUUGCCAAUCUCCACUGGUAUAUGUCCAGAGAGUUUGUUGUGAGACAGAUCAAGACCUUCAGCAAGUGUGGAAAUAGUGAACAGUUCUUUUGGUAUUGUUCCAUCAAAUGAGUUGCAAGAGAGGUUUAGGGUGUGUAACUUAUUGCACUGUGCUAAAGCUACUGGGAUGGGCCCGCUCAAAUUAUUUUGCUGCAAAUAGAGCUCACUUAGUUGACCAAGUUUACGAAUUGAAAGUGGGAUUUGGCCAGAUAGCUUGUUUCCUGAUAAUCUUAGAACGAACAUGUUGGAAAGGUUUCCAAGUGAGUACGGAAGGGUUCCAGUAAGCAAAUUGUGCUCUAUGUAAAGAAGUUUGAGGCUACUAAGGUUCCCUAUCUCGUGUGGUAUGGUACCAGAUAUUUUAUUUGCUGUCAAGAUCAGAGAUUCUAAGCUUUUUGGAAGAUCGCCUAUGGACUUUGGCAGUUCACCUUGUAGGUUAUUUUCAUCUAAACGUAAACUUACUAGCUUUGUACAACUGGUGAGCGAGUGGAGGAAAGUCCAGUCGCCAGCUUCGAGUUGGUUCUUGCCUAGAUUUAGUUCGGUUAAGUUGGGCAAAGACCCAAAAUAAGGAACAAUACCAUGGAAUGCAUUGUCACAAAGAUUAAUGCUCUGAAGAUUUCUGGCCUUGGCCAUUGAAGUGGGAAUAAUACCUCCAAAUCUGUUUCCUUGAACAAUGAAUGUCUGGAUGCUUUGAAGGGUAUGGCCAAUAUUUUCUGGAAUUUCUCCUGUUAGGCUGUUAAUUCCCAUGCCAAGGUAUGUGAGUGUUGAUAUAUUGUAGAGAGAGCCUGGAACGGCUCCUAUCAAGUUGUUGUAAUUCAGAUCUAAUUUGUCCAAGUGGGGGACUUUACUCAAACUCCACGGAAUGCUGCCUUGCAAGUGAUUCCCUGCAAGCAAAAGCUCAACAAGGGAAGAGGAGUUCCCUAUGGUGGAAGGUAUUUUUCCUGCGAGAUUGUUGAAUGAUAGGGACAGAGUUCGCAACGGCGAGAUGGGUGAGAAAGGUGGAAUAGACCCGGAGAAGUUAUUUCUUCCCAAAAGUAUGAUUUCAAGAGAUGGGCUGCUGAAGAGAGAGGGAGGUACGUCUCCAUCGAGGUCAUUGCUUCCCAAGUCCAGCCAUUCAAGUGCUGAACUAUUUGCUAAGAGAGGUGGAAAGCCUCCAGUUAGGCUGUUGUUUGCCAGGACGACAUAGUAGAGUGAUGAGCUGCUUCCAAGUGGGUAAGGAAUCUUGUCCGUUAAUUUGUUGUUAGAACAUACAGAACUGAAAGCUUAGGAAGCAUGCCGAACCCAUCCGGAAUGCUUCCGUGGAGCGUGUUGCUAUCAAGAUAAAUCUCUGUGAGAUUUAGACAGUUGGCCAAACCUGUGGGGAUCUUCCCCUGGAGGUAGUUAUUCCCAAGAUCGAUUAUCUGAAGGCUAGAACAGGUAGACAAAGAGUUCGGUAUUACGCCAGUAAGAAUGUUAUCUGAAAGGGAGAGCUCGACAAGGUGACGCAGAAAACCUACCUCAGGCGGGAUCCCGCCAUUCAGCAGGUUAUCCUGGAGUUUGAUUCUUGCAAGGAAAGUGAGAUUACCGAUGCAGGGUGGUAUUUGGCCGUUCAGAUCAAGAGAUUCAAGAUGAAGUGUUGUGACGCGAGAUGCGUGCUUCUUGCCACAGGUGACACCGGGCCAACUGCAAUACUGAAGGGUAUUGUUCCACGAGGCGAGGGCUUCGGUGUUGUUAGAGAGAUGGUUCUUGAGACAGAGGAGUGCUUGGAAGUCCUUACCAGAUUCAUCACCAAGCGUGGUGCCAUCGAGUGAAGAAGCAGGGGCAAAAGAGGUCAAGAAAGUGAGGAGGACGGUGGCUGUGAAGAGUGAUGAACUGAUAGUCCCUAAAGAUACAUGGGCCAUUUGUGUGCUACCCACGGUUGUGUAUGUUUCUACUGAGUUGUGCCCUCCUACAGAUUUCAGCGGUAGCAGUGAGCACACAUAUUUAUAGCGGGGCUAGCUUGGAAGCCUGCCUUCUCUGCACCCCCCAUUUGUGUGUAACCGAAACAAGACAUUCUAGUUCCCAUCAUGGGCCUGCCUUCUCUGCACCCCCCAUUUGUGUGUAACCGAAACAAGACAUUCUAGGUUCCCAUCAUGGGCAGUAGUGGAAACCAAAGAGCGUUCCCUCGAAAAUUCACUCUCAAGGAACGUCUGCUCUAUCUCGCAAAAAAAAGGAACGUUAGCUCUAUAAUUUAUCAUUGUUUUUUUAAAUAAGGCGCUUGCAAUUUCCACUAUUUUUUUGCGAGAAAACUUCUAAUCUAUUCUUUUUCAACCAUGGUAGUACAUCGAACACUAGAAAUAAUAAAAAUUACAUUCAGGUCCGUAGACCAUCUAGCGACGAUUACAAGCACUGAAGCAAGCUGAAGGCGUGCCGCUGUCAUCGCCCCUCCCUUGCCAGAGCCCUCCCACCGGCAAGGGCCGGGAUCCACUCCGCUCCCAUGGCCCUAAGGCCACCAGAGGCGAGGUGGAUCGGCAGCGAUGCCGGUGGGAGGCAGAGAAACCCUAGCUUUGGGGAGGCGGCAAUUUUCACUAUAUUCUUGUGUUUUUUCUGUGGCGCAUCAAACAAAAUCUAUCACACAUUCUCUUGUUUUGAAUUUCUAUAGGAUUUUCCAACAUGUUAUUAUAUAUAAUUUCUAUGUCAUUCAAUUCCUGCGAUGGACGCUACUUUUAUUUGUAUUUAUAGGUAGAAGUUUGUUUCUUGGUUUUUCAGUUUUCUGCGACUGGCCUAUGGGGACAUAAAGUAGUACUGGAGAUUUGGUGGUUCUUUUUUCGGAUUUUCACCUGCACCAGCAAUGUAGCGGAGAGACUCAGAAUCUUGGAGGCAGUCCCGGUCUCUGACUGGAGGUUUGGCAGCAAGCCACCAUAUCUCCAGUACUACUUUAUGUCACCAUGGACUCGAGUAUCGGUGAGUGCAGCACGGGUCUCCCACCGCUACAACUUUAGCUUCUCCUAAUUCUUAACGCACGAAGCGUGCAAGAGCUCUGGAAAGACCAUGUCCCCGAGACUGAGCACUUGCCGUGUACCAACCCAGCUGCUCGGGAUCCAACUCAUUCUGCUGGUUUUCUUCAUCAACGGCAGCCUCCUCGUCCUCCCCGCCGCGUCAGCCUACUACAAUGCAUCUGCGCCUGCGGCUGCGAGAGUAUACCUCCCCUUUGGUAAAUCGGGAAUAUACCUCCCCCCUGGUAAAUCGGGAAACUGUGAGUAUCGUAAUUGAAACCAUUACUAAUUGCUAGUACUAAAUUGUGAGUACGAACAUGCGAAUGGUAGUGCUAUGAUAGAGGAAACAUACCGGAAUCCCUCUCUUGAGCAAUUGCCGUUCCGCCCUCUUGUUAAAUGCUUAUCAACUAAUACUUGGUGUUCUUUUUACCAUUUCUUGCAGUAAACGUGUUCGGUGGACCACGAACCGCUACUCCACAUCCUCACGCUAACCAACCGGAGGGGAUUCCUCGGCGCAGAGAGCGCAAACACUAGGCGCCUGAGAGGUGCACGUGCAGCGAGACAACGGGGGAUGAACACAUGUAGUAGCUUUGAUAGGGAAUCAAAUAACCUUGCGUGGUUGGGCCAAUGGGCGCGUUACUUGUAUUUGUGAUGCAUAUGCAGCUUGUUAAACAAGUUUGUGUGCAACUUGCAAUUUCUGUUUCCUUGUCCUUCGAGGGACUCGCUAAUGUUAUACGUACUCGAUCGACAAUUGGUAUCUCCUUUGUACUCCAUUAUUGAAACCGCUCGUAUGUGGAAAGGUUAUUGAAACAAUUUGAUCGAUUGGGCCAACAAAGGUGGUUAGUUGCUUCUUAUUGCUUGUCACUCACUGUAAUCUACUCCCUCCGUCCACAAAUAUACAACGUUUUGGAUAUAUCAAUACGUGCUAAUAUUUAUGAACGGAU